GACGAACCGUGCGAACGUUGUUCGGAUUCACUGGGCUUAAAGGGCGCGUAGGCGGGUGAUCAAGUCCGGGGUGAAAUCCUUCAGCUCAACUGGAGAAUAGCCUUGGAUACUGGUCGCCUCGAGGGAGGUAGGGGCGGGCGGAACUUCCGGUGGAGCGGUGAAAUGCGUAGAUAUCGUUUGGAACGCCAAUGGUGAAAACAGGUAGCUGGGAGUGUGCCGACGCUGAGACACGAAAGCCAGGGGAGCGAACGGG
rnacentral:rRNA from 1 species